AGGAUCAACGCUGGCGGCGUGCCUAAUGCAUGCAAGUCGAACGUGCGGCCUUCGGGUCGAGGCGUGGCGGACGGGUGAGGAACGCGUGGGCAAUCUGCCCUACAGGUGGGGGGUAGCCUUCGGAAAACGGAGGGUAAUUCCGCAUGUGCUCAUUGGCUGGUGGGGCUGAUGAGGAAAGGGUCUUCGGACUCGCCUGAGGAGGAGCCUGCGGCCGAUUAGCUAGUUGGUGGGGUCACGGCUCACCAAGGCGAUGAUCGGUAGCUGGUCUGAGAGGACGGCCAGCCACAUGGGGACUGAGACACGGCCCCAACUCCUACGGGAGGCAGCAGCAAGGAAUUUUCCGCAAUGGGGGAAACCCUGACGGAGCAACGCCGCGUGUGGGAUGACGCUUUUCGGAGUGUAAACCUACUUUUCUUAGGGACGACGAGCGACGGUACCUGAGGAAGAAGGACCGGCUAACUACGCGCCAGCAGCCGCGGUAA
rnacentral:rRNA from 1 species